AAAUCAAUAAAAAACUUUAUUUUAAUCAAAAUUUAUUUUUGUAAUUUGCACAUAAUAUUCACAACAAUCACACAUCCAAACACAAAAGCUACAAUGUAAAUCCACCUCUAGCCUAAGCUAAUAGACAAUUAUGCUAUUGAUAACUUAAUCCUUUCGUUCGGACAAUCACCGGAGCAGACGAAAGGGUAACUCUCGAUCCACAAAUGCUCUGACCGGCCGACCUUGAUUGAUCAAUGCUACCAAUAUCUUCCAUUUCCCCUAACAGUCAUCCGGUUAAAAGAACCAUUGCGGGUCAUAGUUGAAAGUACCGCAAGUAAAAUAACCGCUGCUGCUGCUGCUGCUACUGCUGCUGCUGCUGCUGCUAUAAUCCAAGUGUUGCCAACACCUUCCAUUUCCACUAACCGGUCUCUCGCAAGGAGCACCAUUGUCGGUGGUUGCUCCACAAAUUAAUAUAAUAUCAUCACCACCAUGGUCCAACCACCGCGGAGUAAAACUGCUGUCAUAGUCGCCAUAAUUUAAGUUCCGUGAAGUAAAAUAACUACUACUGCGACCAUAAUUCGAAUGUUGCCAACAUCUUCCAUAUCCACUAACUGGUCUCUCACAAGGAGCAGCAUCGGAAGUGGGUGCUCCACAAAUGGAUGUAAUAUCACCACCACCACCGUGGUCCAACCAUCGUGGAGUAAAACUGCUACCGCCGUCCUCGCCAUAAUUUAAGUGCCUCCGGCAUCUUCCAUUUACUUGCUUGUUUGAUUUGAUUUUGAUGGGCACAUGUCUUUAGUUGGAACUACUACUGCUACCAUAAUUCGAAUGUUGCCAACAUCUUCCAUUUCCACUAACCGGUCUCUCACAAGGAGCACCAUCGGAAGUGGCUGCUCCACAAAUGUAUGUAAUAUCACCACCACCACCACGGUGAUCUAAGUGCCGCCGGCAUCUUCCAUUUACUUGCUUGUUUGAUUUGAUUUUGAU
rnacentral:lncRNA from 1 species